CCCCGGCGGGGUUUUGCUAAUACAUGCAAGUCGUACGCACUGGCCCAACUGAUUGAUGGUGCUUGCACCUGAUUGACGAUGGAUCACCAGUGAGUGGCGGACGGGUGAGUAACACGUAGGUAACCUGCCCCGGAGCGGGGGAUAACAUUUGGAAACAGAUGCUAAUACCGCAUAACAACAAAAGCCACAUGGCUUUUGUUUGAAAGAUGGCUUUGGCUAUCACUCUGGGAUGGACCUGCGGUGCAUUAGCUAGUUGGUAAGGUAACGGCUUACCAAGGCGAUGAUGCAUAGCCGAGUUGAGAGACUGAUCGGCCACAAUGGAACUGAGACACGGUCCAUACUCCUACGGGAGGCAGCAGUAGGGAAUCUUCCACAAUGGGCGCAAGCCUGAUGGAGCAACACCGCGUGAGUGAAGAAGGGUUUCGGCUCGUAAAGCUCUGUUGUUGGAGAAGAACGUGCGUGAGAGUAACUGUUCACGCAGUGACGGUAUCCAACCAGAAAGUCACGGCUAACUACGUGCCAGCAGCCGCGGUAAUACGUAGGUGGCAAGCGUUAUCCGGAUUUAUUGGGCGUAAAGCGAGCGCAGGCGGUUGCUUAGGUCUGAUGUGAAAGCCUUCGGCUUAACCGAAGAAGUGCAUCGGAAACCGGGCGACUUGAGUGCAGAAGAGGACAGUGGAACUCCAUGUGUAGCGGUGGAAUGCGUAGAUAUAUGGAAGAACACCAGUGGCGAAGGCGGCUGUCUGGUCUGCAACUGACGCUGAGGCUCGAAAGCAUGGGUAGCGAACAGGAUUAGAUACCCUGGUAGUCCAUGCCGUAAACGAUGAGUGCUAGGUGUUGGAGGGUUUCCGCCCUUCAGUGCCGGAGCUAACGCAUUAAGCACUCCGCCUGGGGAGUACGACCGCAAGGUUGAAACUCAAAGGAAUUGACGGGGGCCCGCACAAGCGGUGGAGCAUGUGGUUUAAUUCGAAGCUACGCGAAGAACCCUUACCAGGUCUUGACAUCUUGCGCUAACCUUAGAGAUAGCGUUCCCUUCCGGGACGCAUGACAAGUUGUGCAUGUCGUCGUCAGCUCGUGUCGUGAGAUGUUGGAUAGUCCCGCAACGAGCGCACCUUGUACUAGUUGCCAGCAAUUAGUUGGCACCUCUAGUGAGACUGCCGGGUGACAAACCGGAAGUUGGUUGGUACCACGUUCGAUCUCAUGCCUAUGACCUGGCUACACCGUGCCUACAAGUGGACGGUACACGCACGAUUCGCA
rnacentral:rRNA from 1 species